rnacentral:rRNA from 1 species
GGGAAACUUACCAGGUCCAGACAUAGAGAGGAUUGACAGACUGAUAGCUCUUUCUUGAUUUUAUGGGUGGUGGUGCAUGGCCGUUCUUAGUUGGUGGAGUGAUUUGUCUGGUUAAUUCCGAUAACGAUCGAGACCUUAACCUGCUAAAUAGUUUUAGGAAGACCCCGUCUUUCUAAUAACUUCUUAGAGGGACUUUGUGUUAGAAACAUAAGGAAGUGUGAGGCAAUAA